rnacentral:lncRNA from 1 species
UUCCCAGUGGUUACACUUCACUCCCUCACAGGUGGGAAGCAAGCCUUUCUAAUCAUUGUAUUUCCACAGCCCUAUCUCAAGUAUCUAGAACUUAUCAGAUGCUCAAUAAAUGUUACUUCAACUAAACCGAUCUAUUUUUGAUUUGACCAGGGUGACUCUGCAAAUAAGAAGUUAUUACUCGAGAAAUAAAACAAUAUGAGCCUUCUGGAGAGAGAAUCAGCACUGUGAAGGAAAUACUGACAUUCCCAAUCGUACAGAAGGUGCAAUUAGCAGUCUGAACGCAAGGCACAAAGCAAAUAAAGGUCAUGUGAGCACACAGCAAGAAGAUGACCAUCUGCAUCCCAAGGGAAGAGCUCUCACCAGACACCAGCCCUGCUGGUACCUUGAUCUUGGAUUUUCAGUCUCCAGAACUGUGAGAAAAUAGAUUUAUAUUGUUUGAGCUGCCCGGACUACAGUAUUUUGUUAUGGCAACCCAAAUAGAUUAAGGUCAUACAGUAUAUCUGGUUGGCUGAAAUAGAUGAUGUCAAAUGAUUAUAUAAGUUCUACUAAUUUAUCUUUCUACCAGUAGUUUAUCAGAAUUUUCAGCUGGUCUGCAUCCUUGUCAACACUUAGUAUUUUCUUUCUCUAUAAUUUUAGCCCUUCUGGUGGGCAGGUAGUCAUAUAUUAUUAUGGUUUUCUUUUGCAUUUCAACAAUAACUAAUGAAAAGGAACACUUUUUUUUUACUUUUAUUGAGUAUGAGAAUAGUUC